ACUGGAUUGAGCUGUGUCCUGGACUAUAUUCCUUAGCCUGGAGGUCUGGCUUUGACACACAAGGCCCCAGUCCUUGGUCCUCUAGCAUGGGUCAGUGCUAAAGAGGAGACAUGGCAAAGGACAGAUAGACCCAAGGCUGCCUGGACCCCAUCAGACCUGGCCAGAAACUAUGGGAAGGAAGAAAGCCCUGAAAGACAGAGCACACAAGAGGAUUGCAGGAACCUGGAGCUUAUCCCAUCUGACUUCAGGCGAAAGGCCGACAAUGCCCCGGACUGGUCGCAGCCAAUCACUCUCACUGAGUUCCCACUUAGAGUUCCCAAGAUACCAAAUGUUACAUGAAAAUGUUGGCUAUUACUCUUACAGGAAGUAGACAUGGAGGAAAAGGCUACUACUGACUUCUGAGAAGACGUUCCAUAAUAUGUUGUGUUUGUUCAAUUUUCUGUCAUUUUAAUAAUUUGAGGUCAAGAGUCAUUGGAGACCUUCAUGCCAAACUCAUCCAAAGAUGCAAUAGCAGAGUCAUGUGGAGGUUUUUUUUUUUUAAUUUUGUUUCUCUUUUGGGUGAUCUUUAAACACACUAAAGACAUAAGAAGACGUAUCGUGCUUUUUUAUCAAAAAACAAUUUCCAGGGGUCAUGUCAUGCUUUUUGCCAAACUAGUACAAGGAUCAAGAUUAGAGCAUGAUGUUCCAUUUGAUCUUAAGUUAGAUUUUUAGCUUGUGUGUAAUUGUUUUGUCUGGUCAUCCUCAUUAUUUCUCAAACGUGACUGUGUGAAUGCAUCGUAGCCCCAAACUGAUCCACAUGUAAAGAAGACUUGCAGGCAGAUUGCUAUGCUUCAAAUUGAAAACAAUUCUGAGCGAGCAAGUUGGAGUUUGCUUGUAGAGCUAACAGUUGUCGACAUUGGCUAUCCUAUGUUUUUUGUAGAGAUCUAAUAAACAAGGCCAUUCAGACCGCCAUUCGUAUUACACUGCAUAAUUUAGGGUACAAUACAUCAUCAGUGCCAAAGACACCCUGACAUGAUAAUAUAAUUAUUCCUCACACAUCUUGCCACCUUUAAAAUAAUUAAAGACAUAAUUGGUCUGGCGUAAUUUAUUUUUAUUUUUUAACACACCAAUUAAUUUUCAAAGUUAUUUUUGACUCUUUCAAAAUACAAAGCAUGCAAUUGCACCUACAGAUGGAAAAUUGGCACACAUAUGUAUUUGACUGGUGAUAGUAAAACUGCUGUUGAUAGUUUGACGAUAUUACACACCCUGUCAUUUUUCAUUUUGACAAUGCGUAGUAAAUACAGACAUUUCAAAUAAUAUUUAUAUUUCAGCCGUAUACUGUCGUUCAGGCAGCAUUACUCUUAAAGCACUGGAUGAAAUUGAUCGCCCCCUCAAUUUAUUGCACAAGACAGCUUCAAGCACCUCUGUGAGUUAUAGGUAAAGGUUGGCUGGUCAUCUACAAGGCGUCGUCUUACCUGUGUGUACCUUUCUAAAGGCAUGCUGUCAAAGAAGAUGACAUACAUAUUUAACAUCCUUGCUGUAGUACUGUGUUAAUAGCCACAAUGUCAGAACACCAGAGAGGUUGCCUCCUCAGAUCUUUCUU